rnacentral:rRNA from 1 species
CACGUAGGGCGCAAGCGUUGUCCGGAAUUAUUGGGCGUAAAGAGCUCGUAGGCGGUCUGUUACGUCUGCUGUGAAAACCCGGGGCUUAACCCUGGGCUUGCAGUGGGUACGGGCAGACUAGAGUGCGGUAGGGGAGAUUGGAAUUCCUGGUGUAGCGGUGGAAUGCGCAGAUAUCAGGAGGAACACCGAUGGCGAAGGCAGAUCUCUGGGCCGUAACUGACGCUGAGGAGCGAAAGCGUGGGGAGCGAACGGG